GGAGCCACAGAGACCACAGUUUAACCAGUAUUUUGAGUGAAGCUAAAACACCAGGUGUCUACUUUGGUAGACAGGCAUUCAAAAAACACAAGUUAGAGGAGGCUCAGUGGAGUAGUGACUAGAUGAAACAGAAUAGAUUAUGAAGUACCUGAAGCAGAUGGGAUGAUCUGAUGCUUUAAAACUCCUUUAUUAAGUACCUCAGUGCUAUUUCCUGCUGGGGACCUACUGGACCAUCUGUGGGUUCCCUGUGUGCACAGGUCAUAAGUUCUCAAAUUGUUUCCAGAUUCACUCCUUGAUUUGAAGUCCUUUCAUUCAUCUGUUUUGACAACUUGAGAUGAUGGGUACUUGAGAGG